UACGAAGGGGGCUAGCGUUGUUCGGAAUUACUGGGCGUAAAGCGCACGUAGGCGGAAUGUUAAGUCAGGGGUGAAAUCCCGGGGCUCAACCCCGGAACUGCCUUUGAUACUGGCAUUCUCGAGUCCGGAAGAGGUGAGUGGAAUUCCUGGUGUAGCGGUGAAAUGCGCAGAUAUCAGGAAGAACACCCGUGGCGAAGGCGGCUCUCUGGGACGGUACUGACGCUGAGACGCGAAAGCGUGGGGAGCGAACAGG
rnacentral:rRNA from 1 species